UAGCGUAUAUUUAAGUUGUUGCAGUUAAAAAGCUCGUAGUUGGAUUUCGGUUAAGAGCGACCGGUCCGCCGUUUGGUGUGCACUGGUUGGUUUUAACUUCCUGUAGAGGACGUGCUCUGGGCUUAACGGUCUGGACUCGGAGUCUACGUGGUUACUUUGAAAAAAUUAGAGUGUUCAAAGCGGGCUUACGCUUGAAUAUUUCAGCAUGGAAUAACACUAUAGGACUCCUGUCCUAUUUCGUUGGUCUCGGGACGGGNGUAAUGAUUAAGAGGAACAGUUGGGGGCAUUCGUAUUUCAUUGUCAGAGGUGAAAUUCUUGGAUUUAUGAAAGACGAACUUCUGCGAAAGCAUUUGCCAAGGAUGUUUUCAUUAAUCAAGAACGAAAGUUGGGGGCUCGAAGAUGAUUAGAUACCAUCCUAGUCUCAACCAUAAACGAUGCCGACUAGGGAUUGGCGGAUGUUAAUUGAUGACUCCGCCAGCACCUUAUGAGAAAUCAAAGUUUUUGGGUUCCGGCGGGAGUAUGGUCGCAAGGCUGAAACUUAAAGGAAUUGACGGAAGGGCACCACCAGGCGUGGAGCCUGCGGCUUAAUUUGACUCAACA
rnacentral:rRNA from 1 species